rnacentral:rRNA from 1 species
AUUGAACGCUGGCGGCAGGCCUAACACAUGCAAGUCGAGCGGAGCGGCGGACGGGUGAGUAAUGCCUAGGAAUCUGCCUGGUAGUGGGGGAUAACGUCCGGACACGGGCGCUCAUACCGCAUACUCUCAGAUGAGCCUAUGUCGGAUUAGCUAGUUGGUGUGGUAAAGGCCUACCCAGGCGACGAUCAGUAACUGGUCUGAGAGGAUGAUCAGUCACACUGGAACUGAGACACGGGCCAGACGCCUACGGGAGGCAGCAGUGGGGAAUAUUGGACAAUGGGCGAAAGCAUGAUCCAGCCAUGCCGCGUGUGUGAAGAAGGUCUUCGGAUUGGAAAGCACUUUAAGUUGGGAGGCGUUACCAACAGAAGAAGCACCGGCUAACUACGUGCCAGCAGCCGCGGUAAUUC